rnacentral:rRNA from 2 species
CACGCCGUAAACGAUGGGGACUAGGUGCUUGGGGGAGCGACCCCCCGAGUGCCGGCGCUAACGCAUUAAGUCCCCCGCCUGGGGAGUACGGCCGCAAGGCUGAAACUCAAAGGAAUUGACGGGGGCCCGCACAAGCGGUGGAGCAUGUGGUUUAAUUCGACGCAACGCGAAGAACCUUACCCAGGCUUGACAUGGAUGAGAAAGCCUCUGGAAACAGGGGCCCCUCUUCGGAGUUCAUUCACAGGUGC